AUACGGAGGGUGCAAGCGUUACUCGGAAUCACUGGGCGUAAAGCGCGCGCAGGCGGGCUGAUAAGUUGGAUGUGAAAGCCUACGGCUCAACCGUAGAACUGCAUCCAAAACUGUCAGUCUAGAGUCUGGGAGGGGAAGAUGGAAUUAGUUGUGUAGGGGUAAAAUCUGUAGAGAUAACUAGGAAUACCAAAAGCGAAGGCGAUCUUCUGGAACAGUACUGACGCUGAGGCGCGAAAGCGUGGGGAGCAAACAGGAUUAGAAACCCUAGUAGUCC
rnacentral:rRNA from 1 species